rnacentral:rRNA from 1 species
AAUGUAUUGGUAGAGGAGCAUCCUAUACCGGGCAGAAGCGCAAUUGUAAGGCUGCGUGGACUGUAUAGGAGAGAGAAUGUUGGCAUGAGUAGCGUAAGGCAGGUGAGAAUCCUGUCCGCCGAAAAUCUAAGGUUUCCUGAGGAAGGUUCGUCCUCUCAGGGUUAGUCGGGGCCUAAGCCGAGAGCGAAAGCUGUAGGCGAUGGACAACAGGUUGAUAUUCCUGUACCACCGAGAAUUGAUUGAGCGAAGUGGGGACACAGAAGGAUAAGUUGAGCACGCGGUUGGUAGAGCGUGUCCAAGCGUUGAGGGAGAAAGAGUAGGCAAAUCCGCUUUUUCGAUAAUUCUGAGGCGUGAUGGGGUGGCGAAAGAGCCGGAAGCAACUGAUUUCAUGCUGUCAAGAAAAGCCGCUAGCGAGAUUCAAGGUGCCCGUACCGCAAACCGACACAGGUAGAUGAGGAGAGAAUCCUAAGGUGAGCGAGAGAACUAUUGUUAAGGAACUCGGCAAAAUAACCCCGUAACUUCGGGAGAAGGGGUGCCUACGAAAGUAGGCCGCAGUGAAUAGGCCCAGGCAACUGUUUACCAAAAACACAGGUCUCUGCAAAAGCGAAAGCUGAAGUAUAGGGGCUGACGCCUGCCCGGUGCUGGAAGGUUAAGGGGAAGUGUUAGGGCAACCGAAGCACAGAACUUAAGCCCCAGUAAACGGCGGCCGUAACUAUAACGGUCCUAAGGUAGCGAAAUUCCUUGUCGGGUAAGUUCCGACCCGCACGAAAGGCGUAAUGAUCUGGGCACUGUCUCAACAAUAGACUCGGUGAAAUUGUAGUACCGGUAAAGAUGCCGGUUACCCGCAGCAGGACGGAAAGACCCCGUGGAGCUUUACUGUAGCUUGAUAUUGAGUUUCGGCGUUGCAUGUACAGGAUAGGUGGGAGACAAAGAGCUCGGUACGCCAGUAUCGAAGGAGUCAUCGUUGGGAUACCACCCUUGUAACGUUGAAGUUCUAACUAUGUAUCGUAAUCCGGUACUAGGACAGUGUCAGGUGGGCAGUUUGACUGGGGCGGUCGCCUCCUAAAGAGUAACGGAGGCGCCCAAAGGUUCCCUCAGCGCGGACGGAAAUCGCGCGAAGAGUGCAAAGGCAGAAGGGAGCUUGACUGCGAGACAUACAGGUCGAGCAGGGACGAAAGUCGGGCUUAGUGAUCCGGUGGUUCCGAGUGGAAGGGCCAUCGCUCAACGGAUAAAAGCUACCCCGGGGAUAACAGGCUGAUACCCCCCAAGAGUUCACAUCGACGGGGGUGUUUGGCACCUCGAUGUCGGCUCGUCUCAUCCUGGGGCUGAAGUAGGUCCCAAGGGUUGGGCUGUUCGCCCAUUAAAGAGGUACGCGAGCUGGGUUCAGAACGUCGUGAGACAGUUCGGUCCCUAUCCGCUGUGGGCGUUGGAAAUUUGAGUGGAGCUGUCCUUAGUACGAGAGGACCGGGAUGGACAUACCUCUGGUGCACCAGUUGUUCUGCCAAGGGCAUAGCUGGGUAGCUACGUAUGGACGGGAUAAGCGCUGAAAGCAUAUAAGUGCGAAGCCCCCCACAAGAAUAGAUUUCCUUAUCAGACUCGUGAGAGACUAUCACGUUGAUAGGUCGGAGGUGUAAGUAUAGCAAUAUAUUUAGCUGACCGAUACUAAUAGGUCGAACGCUUGACCA